GUGGGGAAUUUUGGACAAUGGGCGCAAGCCUGAUCCAGCAAUGCCGCGUGCAGGAAGAAGGCCUUCGGGUUGUAAACUGCUUUUGUACGGAACGAAACGGUCCGGGUUAAUACCCUGGGCUAAUGACGGUACCGUAAGAAUAAGCACCGGCUAACUACGUGCCAGCAGCCGCGGUAAUACGUAGGGUGCAAGCGUUAAUCGGAAUUACUGGGCGUAAAGCGUGCGCAGGCGGUUUUGUAAGACAGGCGUGAAAUCCCCGGGCUCAACCUGGGAAUUGCGCUUGUGACUGAAAGGCUGGAGUGCGGCAGAGGGGGAUGGAAUUCCGCGUGUAGCAGUGAAAUGCGUAGAUAUGCGGAGGAACACCGAUGGCGAAGGCAAUCCCCUGGGCCUGCACUGACGCUCAUGCACGAAAGCGUGGGGAGCAAACAGGAUUAGAUACCCGUGUAGUCC
rnacentral:rRNA from 1 species